GAUAGCUUUCUUAUGUCUCUCCCAGCAACCAUGAAACAAAUUUGUUUUGAGCAGUUUGAAAUUAACUAUUCCAAUAUGAUUGGCAAACCAUUGUAAUCAGCUUUUAUAAUUAAGCUUUCUCUGGGCACUAGACCUGUAGCUGGUACAUAUUCUGUUGUAUGUUAAACUUGAGAACAAGCUACCACAUGGCUGGAACUUGCUGUUUUUUUGAAGAAGUGUAUUAUCUCAUGUUUAUGUAUUGCACUGUUCAGUAUAUACAGAUUCAGAAAUCAGUAAAUUAUUUGGAAGUUGCUUUCUUGACAAAAAAUAAAAUAAAGUGGAU